rnacentral:misc_RNA from 1 species
GAAAUGCGAAACACAAUGUGAAUUGCAGAGCUACGCGAAUCAUCUAGGUCUUGAACGCAUCUUGCACCUGAGCUUUCGAGCUCAGGUAGGUCCGUUUGAGCGCCGAUACACACCCCCCAUCACGGCCAUCGAGCUGUGGCAUUGAGUCCCAUUAGGAAUGGGCUUUAAAUCCAACGGACACCUGCCUUGUUCGUCGUUAAAUUGCGGUCUUUGUACCCCAUUAACUUCGUCUUGGUAAUUGCGUGUCUGACGCCAGACCCAUCGAGGUCCCUAAAUCGUCGCUUUGGAGUCGACAAGGGUCGAAGUACGGUUAUCCGAACAGGAUUCCUUAGUAGGAUUUCCAGGAAAGAGAUUCCAUCGUCACCUUUGCGUCGAUGUGGUUCCCCAAGUAGAUACGACGAGAGGAGUUACAAUCAACUUUGUCUCCCAGUGUCCAUCGAACCAGGGACCCCACCUUUCUCGGCCUCACAUCGGACCAGGUCACCCACAGAACUUAAGC